AUUCUGCAGCUGGGCUGGGGCUGCGUCACAGAAGCCUCUGAGCCUGGGGGCCUUUGUCAAGCAGUUUUUGCAGUGAGUGAGGCCGAGCUUCCAGCCCAGGACUGCUGCUCGUCCUCCUGAGCCUGCUGCAGGGCACAAGGUGGAGGGGCCCACACAAGGCUCCAUCUCAGUGAAUAGUCGCAGCACGCCGUUCUUGGCCACUGGAGACAGCGAGAUUCUGGACCUGGAGAGUGAGCUGUACCUGGGCGGUCUCCCUGAGGGGGGCCGGGUGGACCUGCCCCUGCCCCCAGAGGUGUGGACAGCAGCACUCCGGGCAGGCUACGUGGGCUGUGUGCGGGACCUCUUCAUAGAUGGGCGUAGCCGAGACCUCCGGGGCCUGGCUGAGGCUCAGGGGGCUGUGGGCGUUGCCCCCUUUUGCUCCCGGGAGACGCUGAAGCAGUGUGCAUCUGCCCCCUGUCGCAAUGGGGGCGUCUGUCGAGAAGGCUGGAACCGCUUCAUCUGUGACUGCAUCGGGACCGGCUUUCUUGGGCGGGUCUGUGAGAGAGAGGCCACGGUCCUGAGCUACGAUGGCUCCAUGUACAUGAAGAUCAUGCUGCCUAACGCCAUGCACA
rnacentral:lncRNA from 1 species